rnacentral:rRNA from 1 species
GAUUAACGCUGGCGGCGUGCAUAACACAUGCAAGUCGAACGAUGAAACUUAACUGAUUUCUUCGGAAUGAUUUUAAGUGGAUUAUUGGCGGACGGGUGAGUAACGCGUGAGUAACCUGUCUUGGAGAAGGGGAUAGCCUUUGGAAACGAAGAAUAAUACCCUAUGAUAUGAUAAUAUCUCAUGAUAUUAUCAUCAAAGAUUUAUCGCUCUAAGAUGGACUUGCGUCUGAUUAGGUAGUUGGUGAGGUAACAGCUCACCAAGGCAGCGAUCAGUAGCCGGCUUGAGAGAGUGUACGGCCACAUUGGGACUGAGACACGGCCCAGACUCCUACGGGAGGCAGCAGUGGGGAAUUUUGCACAAUGGGGGAAACCCUGAUGCAGCGACGCCGCGUGAUUUAGAAGGCCUUCGGGUUGUAAAAAUCUUUUGUAUGGGAAGAAAAUGACAGUACCAUACGAAUAAGGACCGGCUAAUUACGUG